rnacentral:rRNA from 1 species
CAGUCGCCACGGGAAUACAGAGGGUGCGAGCGUUAAUCGGAUUUACUGGGCGUAAAGCGUGCGUAGGCGGCUUUUUAAGUCGGAUGUGAAAUCCCUGAGCUUAACUUAGGAAUUUCAUUCGAUACUGGGAAGCUAGAGUAUGGGAGAGGAUGGUAGAAUUCCAGGUGUAGCGGUGAAAUGCGUAGAGAUCUGGAGGAAUACCGAUGUCGAAGGCAGCCAUCUGGCCUAAUACUGACGCUGAGGUACGAAAGCAUGGGGAGCAAACAGGAUUAGAUACCCCCGUAGUCCCUGUCUCUUAUAC